UAAUACGUAGGAUCCAAGCGUUGUCCGGAUUUACUGGGUGUAAAGGGUGCGCAGGCGGACUUGUAAGUCAGGGGUGAAAUCUCACAGCUUAACUGUGAAACUGCCUUUGAUACUGCAAGUCUUGGAUCCAGAAGAGAGUUGUGGAAUUCCGAGUGUAGCAGUGAAAUGUGUAGAUAUUCGGAAGAACACCAGUGGCGAAGGCAGCAACUUGGUCUGGUAUCGACGCUCAGGCACGAAAGCAUGGGGAUCAAACAGGAUUAGAUACCCUGGUAGUCCAUGCCCUAAACGAUGUACACUUGAUGUCGGCCCUUAGGGUCGGUGUCGUAGCUAACGCGUUAAGUGUACCACCUGGGGAGUACGCUCGCAAGGGUG
rnacentral:rRNA from 1 species